rnacentral:rRNA from 1 species
AUUGAACGCUGGCGGCAGGCUUAACACAUGCAAGUCGAGCGGUAACAGAGAGAAGCUUGCUUCCCUGCUGACGAGCGGCGGACGGGUGAGUAAUGCCUAGGAAUCUGCCUAGUAGUGGGGGAUAACUUGCCGAAAGGUAAGCUAAUACCGCAUACGUCCUACGGGAGAAAGGAGGGGACCUUCGGGCCUUUCGCUAUUAGAUGAGCCUAGGUCGGAUUAGUUAGUUGGUGAGGUAAUGGCUCACCAAGACCGCGAUCCGUAACUGGUCUGAGAGGAUGAUCAGUCACACUGGAACUGAGACACGGUCCAGACGACUACGGGAGGCAGCAGUGGGGAAGAUUGGACAAUGGGGGGAACCCUGAUCCAGCCAUGCCGCGUGUGUGAAGAAGGUCUUAGGAUUGUAAAGCACUUUAAGUUGGGAGGAAGAGCAGUUAACUAAUAUUUGACUGUUUUGACGUUACCGACAGAAUAAGCACCGGCUAACUUCGUGCCAGCCGCCGCGGUAA